rnacentral:rRNA from 1 species
CCUACGGGAGGCAGCAGUGAGGAAUAUUGGUCAAUGGACGAGAGUCUGAACCAGCCAAGUAGCGUGAAGGAUGACUGCCCUAUGGGUUGUAAACUUCUUUUAUAUAGGAAUAAAAUGUUCCACGUGUGGGAUUUUGUAUGUACCAUAUGAAUAAGGAUCGGCUAACUCCGUGCCAGCAGCCGCGGUAAUACGGAGGAUCCGAGCGUUAUCCGGAUUUAUUGGGUUUAAAGGGAGCGUAGGUGGAUUGUUAAGUCAGUUGUGAAAGUUUGCGGCUCAACCGUAAAAUUGCAGUUGAAACUGGCAGUCUUGAGUACAGUAGAGGUGGGCGGAAUGCGUGGUGUAGCGGUGAAAUGCUUAGAUAUCACGAAGAACUCCGAUUGCGAAGGCAGUUCACUGGACUGCAACUGACACUGAGGCUCGAAAGUGUGGGUAUCAAACAGGAUUAGAUACCCCUGUAGUC